rnacentral:rRNA from 1 species
CAGCCGUAAACUAUGCGCGUUAGGUGUAUCGGUGACCACGAGUUACCGAGGUGCCGAAGGGAAACCGUGAAACGUGCCGCCUGGGAAGUACGGUCGCAAGGCUGAAACUUAAAGGAAUUGGCGGGGAGCACCACAACGGGUGGAGCCUGCGGUUUAAUUGGACUCAACGCCGGGAAGCUCACCGGAUAAGACAGCGGAAUGAUUGCCGGGCUGAAGACUCUGCAUGACUAGCUGAGAGGUGGUGCAUGGCGUCAGUGACU